rnacentral:rRNA from 1 species
GUGCACCAGGCGAGAAAACUUCACACUGUGCGAAAGCACGAUGAGGGAAUCCCAAGUGCUUGCACGUAAGUGUAAGCUGUUUCUCUGUCUAAAACGCAGAGAGAGUAAGGGCUGGGUAAGACGGGUGCCAGCCGCCGCGGUAAUACCUGCAGCUCAAGUGGUGACCGUUAUUAUUGGGCCUAAAACGUCCGUAGCCGGUUUAAUAGAUGCCUGGGUAAAUUGUGUAGCUUAACUAUACGAAUUCCGGGGAGACUGUUAAACUUGAGACCGGGAGAAGUUAGAGGUACUCCUGGGGUAGAGGUGAAAAUUCUGUAAUCCUAGGGGGACCACCAGUGGCGAAGGCGUCUAACUAGAACGGGUCUGACGGUGAGGGACGAAGCCCUGGGGCGCAAACGGGAUUAGAUACCCUGUA